rnacentral:rRNA from 1 species
CCCUUAGAUGUUCUGGGCCGCACGCGCGCUACACUGUUCGACGCAGCGAGUCUUAACCUUGACCGAAAGGUUUGGGUAAUCUUCAGCAAAGUCGAACGUGAUGGGGAUCGAUCAUUGCAAUUAUUGAUCGUGAACGAGGAAUUCCUAGUAAGUGCAAGUCAUCAGCUUGCGCUGAUUAUGUCCCUGCCCUUUGUACACACCGCCCGUCGCUACUACCGAUUGAAUGGUUUAGUGAGAUCUCUGGAUUGACGCUGGCUAGGGGGCGACCCUUGGCCAGACUGUUGAGAAACUGCUCAAACUUGAUCAUUUAGAGGAAGUAAAAGUCGUAACA